GCUUUUGUGAAAGUUUGUAACUACAAUUACCUAAUACCUACAAGGUACUCUAUGGAUAGCCCCUUGGACAAAACUGUCAUCAAUAAGGAUGUCUUCAGAGACCCUGCUGUUAAACGCAGGGCUGGAUGAGAGGCCAAGGUCAAGUUUGAAAAGAGGUACAAGACAGGCAAGAACAAGUGGUUCUUCCAGGACCUAGAUUUU
rnacentral:lncRNA from 1 species